GGGUGAAGGUGGCCUCAUAGAAUGAGUUUGGGAGUGUUCCUUCCUCUGCAAUAUUUUGGAAGAGUUUGAGAAGGAUGGGUGUUAGCUCUUCUCUAAAUGUUUGAUAGAAUUCACCUGUGAAGCCAUCUGGUCCUGGACUUUUGUUUGUUGAUUUUUAAUCACAGUUUCAACUUCAGUGCUUGUGAUUGGUCUGUUCAUAUUUUCUAUUUCUCCUGGUUCAGUCUUGGAAGGUUGUGCUUUUCUAAGAAUUUGUCCAUUUCUUCCAGGCUGUCCAUUUUAUUGGCGUAUAGUUGCUUGUAGUAAUCUCUCUUGAUCCUUUGUAUUUCUGCAGUGUCAGUUGUUACUUCUCCUUUUUCAUUUCUAAUUCUGUUGAUUUGAGUCUUCUCCCUUUUUUCCUUGAUGAGUCUGGCUAAUGGGUUAUGAAUUUUGCUUAUCUUCUCAAAGAACCAGCUUUUAGUUUUAUUGAUCUUUGCUAUUGUUUCCUUAAUUUCUUUUUCAUGUAUUUCUGAUCUCACCUUUAUGAUUUCUUUCCUUCUGGUAACUUGGGGUUUAUUUUUGUACUUGUUUCUCUAAUUGCUUUAGAUGUAAGGUUAGGUUGUUUAUUUGAGAUUUUUCUUGU